AUCUUCCUUAUCUUUAUCCUCUUAUCUUCCUUAUCCUUAUCUUCCUUAUCCUUAUCUUUAAGGAUAAGGAAGAUAAGAAGAUAAGGAUAAGGAAUAUAAGAAGAUAAGGAUAAGGAAGAUAAAUAUAUGGAAGAU